GGAGGCGGGGCCGGACCUGCUGCUCUCCAGCGGCACCCCGGCGGAGCGGGCGGUGGUGGAUCUGUGGCUGGAGGUGGAGUCGCAGCAGUUCGGGCCGCCCAUCGCGGCGCUGGUGUACGAGGCCCUGAUCAAGCCGAUGCUGGGCGGCGCCACCGACGUGACCGUGGUGGAGGCGCAGGCCACGAAGCUGGAGAAGGUGCUGGACGUGUACGAGGCCCGGCUGGCCCAGAGCAAGUACCUGGCCGGUGCUGAGUUCACCCUGGUGGACCUGAACCACAUCCCAUACACCAACUACCUCAUGAAAACCCCCAAGGCGAGCCUCGUCACCUCCCGCCCCCACCUGCUCGCCUGGUGGCAGGACGUCUCCUCCCGCCCCGCCUGGCAGAAGACCGCCGCCGCUAUCCCCUUCUGAUUCUUCCCCCAUCUAUCUAUUUCAUGUAUUAUGCUGUUGGUACAUCAGGGGGAGAAAGUAGUAUCUCCCCCUGUUGCUAUCUCUUCCAUCCGUGGUUGCAAUUCCUGUUCGGUGUCGUGCAAUUUCUGUUCGUGCUCGAGGACAGAAAUAAAUAAUGUGUCAGCAAUGUAGACAGUUGACAUCUGAAGUAAUGUUGUUGUUUAUGUUACGCUCCUUUUGUUUUGUAUGCAUAGGGGAAAAACCACUCUGAUGCCUGCUUUAUUUUGUCAAUAGUAUCAUAAGUUUUUUAUUAUAUAUUUAAAUCAUAUAAUAUUUCUAGAGGAGGAUCAUUUUUUGGUUUCUGGAAAAAAAUCGUAUUUUGGUUAUUUACAUCAUUUUCAUAAUGUUUGUAAGAGAUCUAUAUGUGUUUUACAUUUCUGCUGAGUUAGACACUUCAGUUAUUUCUUUGAAUCCUAUUCUCGUAUCUAUAUCCAAGCAGUGUGAACAAGACAGUGUUGCAAGUUUUCCUGAAUAGUUUGUGCUUUUCUCAAUUUAGAGAGAAUUGAGUAAUUUGAUUAUAGAAUGCUUGAUGGUUUGGGGAUAAAAAUGUUUGAUGUUAGAGGGUUUUAUGGGGUUGGUUAUGUGAGUGGCAAAGUUUGUGUAGAUCAAGAGAAACUACAGUGUUGAUUAGAGAGAACAAACAAAUUUUUUUUUGUGAAUUAGGCAGUCCUCUAUUCAAACAUUUGAUAAGACUUAUCCAUCAACUUGCAUAGGCGUAGUAGACACUGUAGUUGGUCUAUGAAUAGGGUACUCGUUAGAACCUUAAGGUAUAGUAAAGCUUAGAAUUUAGAUGGUAUGAGAACGCUGGAGUUCUGUUUCUUGGAAGUUUGCACAUUUGUCUCUCGAUCUCUCUGAUGCUCUUAUAAUCGUGAAACAUUAGUAGUGAUAGGGCAUAUUAUGGAUUCUGUCAUGAGGAUAUGACCCCGUCACGUUAACCCAAGUGUGGGGCCUCGGGAGGAAGACGCAACGCCAUGUCGGAUGCGCCACCAGAAAUCCGGGAUAACAGUUGUCCUCCUCUCACGUCGUCUAGCGUCGUGCCAACCAACAUCGUCGCAACAAGUAUCGCUCCAGGAAGCUUGGGACGGCGUUGCAUGGCACCGUCCCACAUAUCUCGGGUGACGAACGUUCGAAGGUACACUCGUCGCUCGAGGAGUUGGACGUCGCACGAAAGACGUGUAUGCCUGACCCUAGGCACUAUGAUAAAAACUCAUUGCUAACAUCGGACAAGGGGCAUCUGGAAUAUUAGCAGGCCCACUAACUUGAUCUUUAGAGGAGCCUAAGUCGAGAUCCUCCUCCCCAUCCUAACUUAGGCCAGUGCGUAGGAAUCCGGUGGUGACAAACGCGGACGGACUCGUUAAAGAGGUGCAUCCCAACCAAAUCCGACCCGAUCAGGCGAAAACCUCAUCCUCGAGAUGGCCCUGGACAUUGCUAAUCGGAUCAAGCCGUACCAACCCCACGACGAUGGCAUAAGGUUCACCAACAAGUAAUAGCAAUUAUUUAAAUUGUCUCUAUUUUUCCUUUUAAUAUUCUUGUUCGAUUGGAUAUUUAAAUAUUCGUCUAAUGUCUGAUUUUGACUAUGUAUCACAUCAUUUCGACCAGGGAGAGAAAACAUUUGUUUGGCUCAAUAAAUGGUCACGAGUUUAUGUUAAUGUAAAAUAGAUCACACAAGACAAAUUAUCGUUAUCUUUUUACACAUUACUUUUAUCUUGUAAAUAAUUAAAUAAGAAUAAGAAACACCAAAUUCGGAAGGAACCAAACUUGAGGCGAUGAUUUGAUUAGAGUCAACAAAAUCAAAUGACUAAAAGACAAUUUCCCCUUUUUUAUCAAAGCAAUUCAAUUUACAACAAAGAAACCAAUUUUAAUGAAACUGGGAAGUCUAAUUAAAGCAGGAGAAACUCUUUACUCUUCGAGAUUGGGAUUCACAUCCAACGGCUAAGAAAACCUCCACGGCCAGUAGAUCAGGCGCCGAGUGCGCCUUAAACCGAACCGGUCCAAAAGAUCAGAGUCCGGUCCGAUUCGAUUUAUGUUUUUGCUGCUAUCAAGUUACUUGGUUCGUUUCUUACUUCACAAAAGCAAACCAACGGCCGGAUCGACCAACUAAACCGGACCGACUACGGAAACAAACCCGCAAAACCCUAAUGCUUCUCCUGCGUCCGCCCGACUCAUUUUCGAUCCCAAAAUCCGCCGCCUCUCUCCAUAUGCGCAACGGAAAGGCUAAUUCUAUCGCUAUAUAUAUCUUGAUCCCUGACUCGCUUCAAUCGUCUAUUUCUCGUGAUCCUUUUAGGUUUUGUGUUUCCGGCCAAUGGUUUCGUGAUUCUUUUAGGGUUUUUUUUUCUGUUUGUUGUUUUUCUUGUAUUGAUGUGGAUUGAAGAUGAGGCUGCUGUGACGACUCAGGAAUAUUCAAGCUCAACAGACCGGAUUGCAGGUCUCUCUUUGUCGAGGGAUUUGUAUGUCGACUAUCCCGCUGACCCGAGCAUUCUCUCUAAAAUCCAUGAUAUUUUCUCUGUUUUGAUGUGUUUUACUUGUAUGUUUUCUUGUUCCUGCGUCUCUUAUCGUCGAUUUAGUUUUUGUUUGAUCUCGGGAAACCAGAUCUAGGGUUUCUCGUGGGUACGUUUUUUAUCGGUCACACCUGUUUCAUCACAAAACACCUGUGGUGGGUUUUGUAACUGCUUGUGCAUCAACUUUGAUUCCUUUUCUCCAUUGUGGUUGUUGGAUCAUCCGGCAUUGAGGUCUCUUUAGGUCGAGGGAUUAGAUUUUCUUCGUCGUCUUUGUUGAGAUUUUUUAUUUGUUUUCUUUUUCUUAUGAUGUUCUUUUGAUUGGGCAUGGAGAAGUCUGCGAUGAGGAUAACAGAGCUCCCUCUUCUGAGAUUAAACAUUGAGGACGCUCGCUGGCAGAAUCGAACCAUUACAAAUACUCGCCGCCACUGAGUCAUUCUUCUCCACAGUUCUACGCAUGAUUCGAGAUUCCAAUAUCCAUCUAAUGCAUUACAUUUUUUUUUACUUCUGAUUCUUAUUCGACCUUCGGUUUCCACUUUUUUUCCACUGAAUAAAUGCCUUUACACCACGAGUUUGUUGUUGGGGAAGAAUUUUGGCCGUUCACCAUAUGAUGAAAGCUACGUAAUCUUAGGACACCUUCCUACACUGCGCAAGUUUAUCCUUGGGCAGUGGAUGAGAAAAAACACGAAUAUUCUGAUGAUGAUGGCCUGUCUGAUCAUUUUUUUGAGGGUUUAAUAGUUCGGUGAUCUAUUUUAUGUAAUUUAUGAUUAUCGAAUCUAUGUUCUUGCAUAUCUUAUUAUUAUAUACAGUGAAGAACCUUGUGUAGGCUGCCGUGAUCAUGUUGCUAUAGUAGUGAUGCAUUUUGAUCCUGUUUGAUGUAAAUACAUUUGUAUGAUGAUUUGUAAUUCUGUUUAAUUUUGCAUUCUCGAUCUUAAAACUACAUUGAAAUUCCUGGUGUUCCUUAUCUGGAAAUUUGCAUGCUAGUGUUCUUCAUUUAUUUGAAGAAGGGAUUCCUUUUAAAAGGGUUUAUGCAUCAGCUAUGAUGUUAGACUGAUUAAGUUGGAAUUACCGGCUGAGGUUGAUAAAACCAUUGCAUGAUGUAAUUCAGUUAUCUGGCUGUCUGAGACUGAUGCUUUUUUUUUUGCUUUUCAAUUGAAUUAGAAAAAGUUUUCAUUGACUCGAAAGCUUUAUUUUUUGGCUUUUGCAAAAAAAUGUUAGAAUGCUUUAAUGAUUCAAGUAACUAAUUCCAUUUCUUUGCAUGGCCUUCUUUUAUUAUAUGCUUUGGUGAUAUUUUAUGCACAAAUUUUACUUGCAUUCCUUAAAAUUGAGUUUUUAUACUAUUGUUGAAAUCACUUCGUAGGAAGUGACUUAUGACACUUAUAAUCAAGUCUAUGAUGUAUACAAAAAUCUAUAUACUUUGCCCAAUGAGGAAUUAAAGACCUCUUGAUAGGAAGCGCCGUAUGACUCUUAUAACACCAGUUGUGCCCACAUAGUCCUUUCCUAUUUCUUUUCUCUUGAUGUUAUCCUCCUCAAAUCCUUUUAUAGGUUUGUGUUUUGAGGGUUCUCUAAAAGAAAGAUCUAUGGAGUUCAGAGGACUUGUGGUUCAGCUGUGUGUGUGUGUGAUUUUAAAUGGGUCACUGAGGGCUUUUAUCAACACAUUAGCAUUACUGUCUAGUUUGUUGGUCUUUAAAAGCAUAGUCUCCAUUAUCUUCUAUUUAGCAUUAUAGGCCCGAUGCCACGUCACCAGUAGCUUAUGCAUUGACUGGUGAUGCUAUGAUCUGGCCAAGAUCAAGUCCUGGUUGGACAUUUUGCAUGCUGAUAGGAACCUGUGGAUAAGAUCCAUGUUCAUCCACGGAGCCGAUUUCUGCGAUCACAAUUGUUGUUUGGUUUCUCUUUAAUACAAUUGUGAUACUGGUCUGGUGCCAUAUGCUACUGGUCUUUUAACAAACUUCAAUUGCUGGUGUGAGUUUAUAAGGUAGGUGUAAAUUAACUUCUACAGUAUCAGAUCACUUGAUAUAAUAAUUAUUUAUUACUUCAACGUGAAAGGUAUGCUGAGAAUUUUCAUUAGGAACAUGAAAGUCAUUUGUUUGAUAUCUGUUUUAAAAACUGUCCCAGUAAAUGCUUUUUGGUUUUAUUUAAGACUACUGGGAUGAAGAAUGUCAAUCUGCAAGUGACGAGGAAGAAGACAGGGACAUCAGCACUCUUUAUUGAGAAUGAUGACUUGGUCUAUGGGAAUCUCUCUGAUGCCGAAGAUUGUUUCCUCCCUUUCAUCUGUAAUGUUUUUUUGGGUUCCUUAUUGGUUUAUUUAUAACCUGUUUUUUUUUGCUUGUGUUUUGCAAUUUAUUGUAGUUGCAUCUUACAAUCCUUCUGCCUAUGAUGCAUAAAUAUGCACGUAUUAUCAGACAUGUAAUGAUGAUAUAUGAAUUGUCACUACCACUGAGGCAGACGUCAUGUUAUUCUACUGAGAUAGAAUUUUCUUUCUUUUAUUUAUUUUCUUGACAAAACACUUGUAUCCCUUCAUCAUUUCAUAGAUCACUCUAUCAUGUGCGUUUAUCAUUUCAAUGAUCACUCUUUUAUGUGCGUUUAUCAUUUCGAAGAUCACCAUCUUCUCCAUGAUGAAAUAGUGCCUGUGAUAGCUUUAAAUAUACUAUGAGUAACUACAAAGAUUCAAAUUUUAUCUGAGGCACAAAUCUCUAUUGUAGUUUAUUUUAUUAUGUUUUUAUUGUUACACUAUUCAUAAUGAGAAUAUCAACUGUAUUUUUUUUCUUAUGAUGUUAUUUCUCCUGCGACUCGACAAUUGCUUUCUUUUUAUUAAUAUUGCUUACCUAUUAAUAGUGCCUGGUUCUAACCUCUUGGGAAACUGUUGUCUUCUUUGUAAAAUAGUAAGCUUAUUGUUAAGUCUUAAAUCCUAUUUUCUCUAAUCAAACUCUAGAUAAAGAUAAGGACAUCUUUAUUGCAUCAUCUAAAAAUCAAAUUUAAGUUUUAAUGAACGAAUUUUAAGAUUACCUUAUUUUUAUAAAUAUACUCAUCAAAAACAAAUUAAAUCAUGCAUCAUUAAGAAAAAUAUAUUUGUCAAAUAUUAAGAUCGGUAUCUGAUAAUUGUGUGACAUUAAAAAUGCAUUGAUGGAUAACUAAAAAUUCGUUAUCCUUUCAAUAAAUAUUUGUGAUGUUUGUUGAUAACAUCACAAAUAAAUAUAAAUCAAAUUAUUAAGACUUGAUGAUUCUCAUUUAAUCAAUGCAAUCUACGUGCUUGGCAGGGGGGAGAAGUGAACAUAUCGGCAGUACAAAACUCAAAUAUGAUCGUCUCGCGGAUCUUGCAGCGCAAAGCGCCGCUCGUUUUCCGAGAUUGGAACUCACAUUACAAAUUAAACCGGUCGACCUCCACUAACGCAACCCAAUCCGUAAGCCGUCUAUCUUAUCCUUCGAACACCGCGUGGACUCUGUGAUUAAAUAGCUAUAAUCACAAGCCCGAUGAUGGCGAUGAGAACAACUUUUAGCGGUCGGUGAUGGUGAUUGAUCUAAUAAUUAACUACUAAUUGCUCUACGGAAUGGCAUCCUUGUAAUUAACUACUCAUUGCCCUAAUAAUGUCACAUAAUGUCACAUAUCUACAAUGUCACAUAGCUAUAAUGUCAUAUCUCCGCAAUGCGAGCGAAGCCAACAGUGCGCCAUGUAGCAGAACUGGGAACAUUGCCGACUCUCAGAAUCGCCCUCGCCGCUCUCCUCGUCACUGCCAUCUCCGUCGCGGCCACCUUGGAAUGGACCCCCGCCUUGCACUUCGCUGUUGAGUUCGAGCUCAGAUCGGUAGCGAGCCGUUGGAUCUCCAGGCCUUGGGCCACAUCCGCUACGACGCGCUGCGGCGCGACACCGUCCCCUGCUCCCGCCGCGGCGCCUCCUACUACAACUUCCGCCCCGUCGCCGAGGCGAACCCCUACUCCGACGGCUUCUCCGCCAUCACCCGAUGCCACGGCGGUUAAGGUUCCCAGAUCUCGCCUUUGCGUCUCUUUUCGCUUGUUUCUUUGGCGUUCUUUCGAUCAAGUUGGUGGAUUGGCUUUCAACUGCAGCUCGUUGUCAUCGGUGCUUGUCGUUGUAAGUGAAUUACUACGAUCAUCGGAAAUAUUCGAGCUUGAAAUUGUCGAUUAAACGACACCUCGAAUAUACAUUUUUAGUGCAAUGAGAUAUCUGUAUUCAAUAUUAUCUAAGAUUAAAUUUUUUAAAGUUUUUUCUCUUAUUAGCCAAGGUGUCACUAGCUCAGCUACGGUCAACAACUCAACUGCCACCAACUCCCAUCAAAGUUUUUCGAUCCAACGUGAUUUCGACAUUCCAAAAAGCACUCAAGACCUAUCAAACCGUCACUCGAUCUUGUAUGAAUUUGAGACUCAGUGGACUCGAUGGAGGAUUUUUUUAUGAGUCCACUACGAUAGAUGGAUCGAUAUUUUGUCGUGGAUAAACCUAUGAAUAAGAUAUUUGACUUAAUUCUUAAGUAUGUUUAUGUCUUUUAAUUUUUAUGGUAAGUUUGAUAGUCUCAUUUUGAUUGACUUAUUUAAAUAUAAGUUGUAUGUAAUUAUUAUGUAUAGACAAAAUUAUCUAGAAACAAGUAAUCCAUAAUCAUUUUAGGGGUUUUUAGCUCUGUAGAUUAUGUGAAGUGUCAACUAGCAUGGCACAUAGAAAGUACUCGGGUAGUACAUGGGUGGAUGAACUUUUGGGGUAAUGUCUAGGGUUGAUUCAUUAUCUUGUUCCAUAACAAUAUCAUGUGGGCACUUGUGGGGACUUUUGAUCAUUAUUGCAUGACCAUUCUGAACUUGCAAAAGGACACGCAAAGGUGCCACAUGACUUAAGCAAAACUAGUUAAGUCCAUGAUAUAUGAUAUAAGAUGUGAAAAGAAUUUCAAUAAUAAAAAAGGAAAGUGUUGGUUGACCCUACCUUAGGUCGAUUGUUGUUCACCUAAAAAAUUUAAGAUGAGCCAAUUCUAGCAAGCUUUUGCCUCUCGUCUUUGGAGGUGUUUGAUGGUAGUGCUAACCUAACGGAGCACACCAUAAUCUUUUAUGCCCAAAUAUUGUUGUAUAAUACUUCGGAUAUUUUGAUGUGUUGUACAUUCUUAAAUACGUAAGAGUCCUAACAUGUAAAUGGUAUGCUCGCUUGAAGCAACUUUCCAUCGAUUCUUUUGCUUAUAUCAUGAGGGAGUUCGAACUUGACUUUCUCGAGAAUUUAUACCCGUGGCCAUUGGUAGCAAUAGUUCUCGGAUUCAUGUAGGAGGAAGAAGAAAUGCUCGCAAAUUUCAAUUCAGGAGCGAGAAUUGAGACAUGCUAGAUUGCAAUCUGACAUUCAUAAUGCAAACCUUCAUAAUGCCCUAUCACCUCUUCUUAUCAUUAAUAUAGAGACAAUCGGUAAUUGUACUAUAUGCACUUUAAAUGGUUAAUUAAUGUAUCACCACCAAGGUAAUGGUCUGUAGCAAGUGUAAAAUCAUGCAAGAGGCCAAAGUAAGAGUGGCCACAAUCAACCCUGACCCUAAGGUCACCAUGAUAAAGAAGGAAUGGAUGAGAACUUUUCUAUAGAUAAAAGAGAAGGGGUUCUUAAAAGAUCCUCACUUGAUGAAGGCCUUAUUGGUGAAAAGAGAUAAGUCUAAUUACUGUCGAUUCCACCAGAUUGCGACACAAAGGAUUGUCGCAACUUGAAAGAGCAUAUUAAAGAUCUCAUUCAUCGAGGACACUUUGGGCAAUCUGUCUGAAAGCAUGGGGAACCCUCACCCCCAACCUCAAGUGCUGAUGGAGAGGCAAAUUGAUGUCAUCAUUGGUGGACCUAUAUCGGGGCAGGAGAUAGCUCAUUGGGUUGUAAAGCUUAUUCUUGAGCUAUCAUUGAAAAGCAUCCAAGAACGAAGGAAAACCCAGAAAUAACCUUCAAGAGAGAAAAGAUAGAGCACCUCAACUUAAAUUAUGAUAAUGCUUUCAUGGUUUCUUUGAUCAAUGCUUGACUGAAGAGAUUCAUUGACAUAGGUAGUUCUAUUGAUAUCAUCUAAUAUAAUGCUUUUUAAAGACUUAGGAUGUCAACUAACAACCUUACCUCUUUGGCUUCUUCACUGACGGGAUUCACUGGUGACUCUAUCUUGCCUCUCAAGAUCAUAAACCUGCACGUUACAUUCAGAUACAAGCCUUGCUCCAAAAUAAUAUUUGCUAAAUUCAUGGUGAUUGAUAUUCCCUCGGUGAUGGGAGGGGUAGGUCAGUGAUAGACCGCCACCAACAGCGCUCACACCCCUUGCUUGCGUUUUGCAUCGAAGGUUAAGAAAUUUGACCCCCUCAUCUGCCCAAGUCACGAAGGUCAGGGAACCGACCCCCAUUAUUAUUGACCUCCAUGCCUAAAGGAGGGUUGGGUUUACAUCAACAUGGAUUGAUCUGUUAUCGAUUAGGGCUCAUUAGUGAGGAGCAACCCCUUACUAAGGGACAAAGGUAGUCAAUUCUUUGCAUGGGUUAGGCGCCUCUCGAUUCUAUCGGUGUUCGCCUAAUACACAGAGUCAGUGAACCAAUCGAAGAGGUAUAAGCUUAAUAUAUCAAAUAAACUAGGUACACACUUCGGGUCCCUCUUGCGAGAGCCAAAGCCCUUAAAGCACACCUUGAGAGGGUGACAAAUGAUAGAGAGGAUAUCUUUAGUCAAUGUCACUUACACGUGAUCUUCAUAUAGUGUCUAGGGUAGAAGAAGAAGACAAUGACUACCCUCUAUCUAUCUGUCCACAUGGACAAAGGUAUAAGAUAGACGAUUAUAUAUUGAGACUAGAUAUUUUUAGUUGUCGAUCUAAAUUAGUAACAUAAAUGGUUCUCGAUCUAAAUCAUAAAUUCAAUCCAAAUUGAUUUACUUUACAUGAGUUGUUGUGCCUAAGAUUUUUUUUUUUUUAUGUGAGGGGAUUGGAUGUUCAUUCAAUACAAUUCUUUUAUGAUAAAUCUUUCACAUCAUUCGGUGUCACUAAUAAAAAUUAGUCUGAUGACAACUUUUAUAUUACCCAAACGAGUGAGAGAAUGAAUCGAGAAAAAAGGUUUUAGGUUCCCAGAAACAAUCCAUAUGAGCUCUUAUUCAUAAAUAGAAAAUGGUUAGAAGAAUAUUUCUUGAAUGAAUAAUAUUUCAAAUAACUUUCCCUUAAGCUUAUUAUAUAUAUAUAUAUAUAUUCUCAAAUGUAUUCGAUGAUCACACAACUCUUAAUAUUUCUCGUCAUUUUAAUCAUCCUAUUUUUAUUUUAUAAAUAAUAUUUUAAUUAAUCUCUCCAUCUUAUCGAAUAGUUAAUACUUGAAGCUUCUACUUAAAAGAACAUCUUAUUGAUCCAAUUUAACUAUAUUCUCCUAUCAAUUCUUAUAAUUAUUUAAAUUUUAUCUUAUAUAUUUAGCUAUAUUCCUACUCGAUCUAAACCUUUAGUUUUUAAAAAUUAUUUGUUUCCACUUAAACUCUCAUCAAUUAAGAUAAUAUCAUUAAUAAAUAAUAAAUAUCAAGGAGAUCUAUCGUGACUACUAAACUCAUCUAUUAUCGAUGUAAAAAAUAGACUUAUUGUAAAUCUUUAAUAUAAUCAUAUUCUAAUAGAAAAUAUUAUUAUAUAUAUCUUUGAUAAUAUCAAUAUAAUUAUAAAUAUAUCUUUCUAUAUAAAUAUAAAUAAACAAAUAAAUAAAAAUAUCAUUUUCAAAAUAAAUAAAUAACAUUUUACUUUUUGUAGCUUUUAUAAUUAUAAUAUUGAGUUAUUGUAGCAUUCAUAUAUUUUAUGAUUCGAAUUAGAUAAUGUUAACGAUAAGACUUAUGUGAUGGAAGUUAAUCAUAUGUAUAUAUGUGCUGUUAUUGGACUUUAAUAUAUUUAUUUGCAUGUAUAAUUGAAAUUAAUUAGAGAUGGAACCAUCGAACAUUUUGAGUUGAGAAAUCUAUACAACAUAGCAAAUAAAUACGGACAAGUAAAUCUAUAAGACGCCCCAAAGUGGGCAGGCGAGAGCGAGAGCACGUCGAUUAAUAGACACCCCCCUCUUCGAAGAGAGCGACCGCUCGACCUUGGCGGCUGCGCGCACUCGUCCUCUGCUGCGCUGCUUUCGCCCUUUCCCUCACCCCCCACCAAAACCCUAAUCUCUGAUCCGCCCUUCCACUUCGACCCCUAGCCCUAAGCGCGGGAGGGAGGUGACGGGGCUGAGAGGCGGGCAAUGGAGGCUCCUCUAGGGCAGAAGCAACGGCCGCACGAGUUCCCCUCCAUCACCCUCUCCCACCUCUCCUCCCCUGCUCCCUCCUCCGCCUCCGCCUCCGCCUCCUUCGCCGAGGAUAACUCCGGCUGUCCUCGGCUGCGGAUCCACCAGCUGAGCUCGCCCGACCCCGUUUUCGACCUCGAUCUCCAGAAUAUUCAGGUUUUUCUGCUCUUUCACCUUCUCGUUUCCUAUCCUUGGCGCAAGCUGUCGCUUCGGAGGAUAUGUUGUCUGGAUCGUUCUUUUUUUCUAUGGUUGGUUCUUUCUCCAGAUAUUCAAGUUAGGCCCUCUGGAGUUGCUAUGCGCGAGCGAGGAAACGGGAGGCGACGAUUCUGAAGAGGUAUUGCUACUUUACUCCAAGCUCCCACUUGAAUGAACGAUAUAUGAUUUUAAGAGCUUUAAGCGCAGAAUGCUUCCGAUUGUUUUCGAGGUUUUAUCAUGAUUUCUUUACAUCUGUGCCCAGUUCAGUCGAAUGUUACCUUUUUUUACUUAUCGAGUUUAUUGCUCUCAUGUUAGUUAUGGUGUAUCUCAUACCAACAGAAGAAUCUAUGAAACUUAAACGUGUUUCCUUUUCAGCAGAAGUUGGCAUGUUUUUAUCAUAAUUUCUAUACAGCUAUGCCCGGUUCAGUCAGUUGUUUCUUUUUCUACUUAACGAGUUUGAAGUUAUGGUGUGGAUCAUAAGAACAGAAGCAUAUAUAAACUCUAUGUGUUUCGAAAAGUGAACAAAUUGAUUUAGAUUAGUGUGCAAUUCGAUCAUCACAGAGGUUUUUAAAACAUUGCAUCCUUGUGCCAUCUUUUCUGAGAGUGUUGCUCCAUUUCCUGUCCAUGUGAAAAAAGAACUAUUGCAUAGUUCCUUGGACUUACCUUUAGUAUCUGUCAAUACUAUAAAGUUAUCCAUCUGGUGAUCAUGAAAUGUGCUGUUAUGUUCUUUUAAUUAAAUUGAUGUCUUCUAUUAGUGUGAAUUUAAAAUUUUUAAAAGCUUAUUGUGGAAAUAUAAAGUGAAGUACUUGUUCCCAAAAUAUUUUGCAUCUGUUUUACACUGCAAUGCUCAUGGGCUGUUCAUUUAUUGUCAAUUCUCUAUAUGCUUUUCCUGACAGUGUUACUGAUCGUACCCGCGUUGUUUCCAACUAGUUUGUUUAACUUUUCCCUGGAUCAGAACCAAAUCCAAAACUACAUUAAUUUUCUCUGGAUUUCUAUGAAACAGAAAUCAUUUUCAAGAGCUUUUAAAAUUGGCUUCGGAACAAAGGUUGAAUGCAAAUCUUUUUAUUCAGCCUGCGAGCAGUGGAAACUUGGGGUGGUUGGUGCAAGAACUGGUAUGACUUAUUCAAAUUUGCUUCCAUUAUGAUAUAAUUUCCUGUAUCUUUUGUUUUGAGUAACGGAAAUUGCAUAUAUCUUUAGAUUUUAGUUCUUUUGAGUAAAAUUUUAUGUGCAAAGAAAAUAGUCAAAGUAUAGUUUGGAAGUUGCAAGUAAAAUAUUUUUAUGCAUUUUGAUUGCACUAUGGCACUUACAUGAAAUUUUAUCUUCGGGGAUAUGAUCUUUAAAAUUCAUGCAGCAAGGAUGAAAUAAAUUAUCAUUUUUUUUGGCUCAAUGCCAUUGAAAAGGUUAUAAAAGAGGCUUUUGUUUGGUAUUGCAAAGGUAAUUUCUAUGAAUUUAUAUCUUGCUUUGGCAAAGGGAACUAAGUGGGGAAUCAUAAAGUUGCUAUAAGUCUGCCCAGACUUGCCAUUUACAUAGCAACAUACUCCAUUUACGGUUGUCGGCAUAAGGAACCUUUCACAAAUCUUUGUACUAUUGGGCUGGAUACUAGACCUUACAUGGUUUGGCUUCUUUUUUUUUUUUUUGGGUCUCGAAGUUGACAAUUCUCUUUGUUGAUGAGCGGCGAUUUUAAAAGGCGCUCGGGCGCUCGCCUAAUCUCCCAGGCGGCAUGCUUCAAACAGGCGCCGCCUGGGCGCUGGCCUGAGCCCAGGCGCUGGGCGCUUCGGGCGAGCGCCCGGGUUAACCAAUGCGAUCGAACCAGGAUUUUAGGUCUGGUUUGGUCCUGGUUCGGUCUAUGACGAUUAGUUGGUUCAAUCGAACCAACUAAAACUGAUAUAAGUGACAACCGAACCCUAACCCUCGUCGCUGCCGAUCCCGAUCCCGCUGCUCGUAAACGCUGUCGCUGCUCGCAAACGCUGCCGCCGCUCGUAAACACUGUCGUUGUCGCCGCUCGCCGCUGCCGCUCGCGCCUCCCGCUCCCGCCGCUCGCUGCUGUCGUCGCUCGUCGCUGCCGCUGUCGCUGCUCGCCGCUGCCGCUUUCUCUUUUCUUAGUCAGCAAGCUCAGCACUCCUUUACACUUCCUUUUAACAGUAUACAUAUACUGUAUAUUGUUAAUAUUAUUAAAUUUAUUUGAAAUGAUUAAAUUUUAAUACUGUUAAUAGAUUAAUAAUAUAUUAUUUUAAUUUUAAUACUAUUAAUUUUCAUUUAUUUGAAACUUUUUGUUAAUGUGACAUUGUGAUUUUGUAUCUUAGAUUUUCUUAAUUUAAUAGCAUAUUUUUAUUUAAAAUUUUAAAUAAUUAUAUUUAUUAAUUAUAUUAUAUAUUUUUAUAUUUUAGCGCCUAGCGCCUCGGGCGUUUUUGGACCUUGGCGUCUUUUAGCGCCUAACGCUUUUUAAAUCACUAUUGAUGAGACUGUUAGACGACUAAGAAUACUUGCUCACUGGCUUAAUGUUCUUAUAGCAUUUUAACCUCUGAUGAGGAUCUUGAUCUACAAUCUUCCAUCAAUUCGAUGGUGUUGUUGAGCACUUUUCAUUGGAAUAAGUGGGUGAUCUUCGAUCAAAUUUACAAGAAUUGCUGAUGCUCGACAUUUGAAACAUGGAAUACGGCAUGAAUGCAUGCAUAUGGUGGAAGUUCUUGGCACUAACUAGCAUGUCUAAUGCAUUCUAACACAUAAAAAGAUAUCUAAAACUGGGGAAAAUUCAUUGCUGCUUGCAGAAUUUAUGUGAGGCAAUCGGAGAAGCAUCGAAUGUGGAACUAUAAAUUUGUGUCUCAUUGUGCCUAUAGUCAUAAUUCCACUUCAUUCUGUUUCCCCUAUUCGUGAGGGUCUUCGACUGCUUGUAAUGCUCAAGUUGCUUCAUAUUCAACUCAUCUACUAUCACCACACUAAGAAUAUAAGUCAGUAGCAAAGGCAGUCUGAAGUGAACACAAACAGACCUAGGUUCUCAUGGCAUUGAUGCACAAUGGGUGUUGCAGUGAGAGAGACAUCAAUAAAUGUUCUUGCCAUCUUAUACUGAUAAAAACUUGAGGUAAGGCUCUCAUAGGUCUUCAAAUUAUCUUCAUUGCCAACAAUCAAUGAGUAUAUGAUCCAACCCUUGUAAUUAAACGGUGGUCAACUAGAGUGAUGAGGUAGAGAAUGGGUUCUUUUUUUUGCUGUUAUUGUAACUUCAUAAUCCCAGGAUCUGUGUUGUGGGAUCCUGCCAAGUAAUGUAUAAAGGAAACACAGGACUCUACCAAGAACACUUGAUGGCACAUUUGUAGUUUUAUCCCAACAAUUUGAGACUCACUUGUGUUCUGCUAUUUAGCACUCAUCACUUUGUUGGUACAUAAGAAAAUGCACAAAUAGGUUCCUGCUCACUAAUCUGCAGCACAUGGAGAUUGACCCUAGUUCAAUUAUUUGAACUUCAACUGUAAUGUAGGGUGUUUUCUGGGUUUGGUUUUGAGUUUUUUUUUCCAAAUAGGGUAUAAUUUACAAGCAACAACAAAAAAAUGCCCUUUACUAAAAACUAUUUUGUAUAUUGCUUUCCUACAAUAUGCGGGUUUGCUUUGAACUUUUUAUUCUAUAAACAAUAUAAAAAUGAAGCCAAUGCUUAAUCUGGCAUUGAUCUGAUGUUUUUAUGUUGAAAUUCUUUUGGAGUUCAUUUUUAAGAAUAUGCCGUAUCAUCUUGUUAUUCACAUGCUAUACAAUCUUGUUAUCCUAUUCUAAUGGUUCAGUUAUUUAAGUAUGACAAAACAAUUUUCUAUAGUUUUGACUAAGCAAGUCAUAGUUAUGAUUGUGAUUGUUUUUGUAUCUUUUUC
rnacentral:lncRNA from 1 species